rnacentral:rRNA from 1 species
AUUGAACGCUGGCGGCAUGCCUUACACAUGCAAGUCGAACGGUAACGCGGGGCAACCUGGCGACGAGUGGCGAACGGGUGAGUAAUGUAUCGGAACGUGCCCAGUUGUGGGGGAUAACUGCUCGAAAGAGCAGCUAAUACCGCAUACGACCUGAGGGUGAAAGCGGGGGAUCGCAAGACCUCGCGCAGUUGGAGCGGCCGAUAUCAGAUUAGGUUGUUGGUGGGGUAAAGGCUCACCAAGCCAACGAUCUGUAGCUGGUCUGAGAGGACGACCAGCCACACUGGGACUGAGACACGGCCCAGACUCCUACGGGAGGCAGCAGUGGGGAAUUUUGGACAAUGGGCGCAAGCCUGAUCCAGCCAUGCCGCGUGCGGGAAGAAGGCCUUCGGGUUGUAAACCGCUUUUGUCAGGGAAGAAAAGACUCCUGUUAAUACCGGGGGUUCAUGACGGUACCUGAAGAAUAAGCACCGGCUAACUACGUGCCAGCCGCCGCGGUAAAAC